rnacentral:lncRNA from 10 species
CGAACCCCUAACCUCAAGUGAUCCACCUGCCUUGGCUUCCCAAAGUGCUGGGAUUAUAGGCGUGAACCACCACUCCCAGCCAAAGAAUAUUUCUUCAGGCAGUGGAAAAACAUGUUUGUUGGGUGGUUUCCAUGAAAUUGCACCAUCAUAGACCUGCCCAGGAAUUAAAGAGGCAAUAAAUUAUCUUAGUUACUAUUAGAAAAGGGGAGCUUGUUAAUAUUGUGACAUCAUUAUUACCUGAGGUGUCCUGUACUGGUAGAGCCAUUAAACAAAAAUCUUGCUCCUCCAUUGCCUUAAGUAAGUUUCUAUUUAGUAUUGUAAAUGGAUGGAAUAAUGACCACAGAAACACUCUGACAGUGCUGAGGAAUAAUUGUUCCUGCAUUUAAUAUCAUUUGAAAAUUUUGACGACCAAUUUUAAGUGAUUUUUAGUAAUUAAAUUUUUAUUUAUUUUUUUGAGGAGAGAAAUGGUCUCUGUCACCUAGUCUAGAGUGCAGUGGUGCUACCAUGGCUCACGGCAGCCUCAUCCUCCUGGGCUAAAGGGAUCCUCCCACCUCAGCCUCCUGAGCUGGGACUACAGGUGUGUGCCAUAAUGCCCAGCUAAUUCUUUUUUUCUUUUUUUUUUUUUUAACUUAGUAGAGAUGGGGUCUCACUGUGUUGCCCAGGCUGGUCUCGAACUCCUGGGCUCAAGCAGUCCUCCUGUCUCUGCCUCCCAAAGUGUUAGAAUUACAGGUGUAAGCCACUGCACCUUGCCUAAUUAAAUUUUUAAAUACCUGUUUUCAGAUAUGACCUUAUAUUCCAGAACUCUCAAUUCUGUGGUGGCCAUAGACUUGGCUCAAUUUGAUGUUAAACUUGCGCCAUUUGGGGUUUGUCUGUGUGCUUGGCACAUCUUUAUGGACUGUGGCAUUGGGAAUCUGCAUUAUAAAGCAAUUAUUUCUCAUAGUAAAAGGGAAAAUGAUAGCUUGGAUUAAUGUGCAAGUUGGGUCUUCUGAUGAAGAUAUGUUCUUAUUUAUAAUUUAAAGCUGAUAGAACUGAACUAAGUCCAGGCUCAGUAUUAGCGUUCAACUUAAUAAAGGAGUCUUGGCUUUCAGCACUAGGAAACAAUGAUCAGGGAGAGGCAUCCUAGUGUUUUGGUGUGGGAUUACAGGAGUUUGAUAGAGGAGAGCUUAAGAUCCCAAGACAACUUGUCAAUCUGUGGAUCUGCACAUCACCUUGUUUUGACGAUGUCCAGCACUGAGGUUUUUUCCCCAAAAGUUACUGCUUUCCUAUCUAGUGUGUGAAGUUUAAAGUUACUUGUUUCUCUUAUGGAUGACUUAAUUGACCUUGGCCUUGUAAGUUUCCUGUUGACUGUUGAAUAAACUACUGAAUGUUGAAAACAAAUGAAAUGUGAAAUAAAACCAUCCUGCUGGGAUGAAAAGCACAGUUGGCCCUCCUUUGUGGGGGCAAGCAGAGCAGUGCCUUUUAAAGGCUUUUUGUUUUGUUUUUUUUUUCUUAGGCUAAUGAAGUGGCAAAAGUGAGGGAAGGCUAAAUAUCAAGUUUAGAAUAGGUGCUGACAAUUCAGCUUCUGUAGUUUUUGGUUGUAUUAAAUAACCUGUUUUACAAUAUACCAGCAGCACAAUUGGGUCUGCCUUGUGACCUUGUUGGUUUG